rnacentral:misc_RNA from 1 species
UCCGAGUUGACCCCGGCAGUCUCCUACGAGUCCCCGGCAUUACCCGCUGGCAACAUAGGAUAAGGGUUGCGCUCGUUGCGGGACUUAACCCGACAUCUCACGACACGAGCUGACGACAGCCAUGCAGCACCUGAUGAUAGUGUCCCGAAGGCCUGCGAUAUCUCUACCGCAUUCACUACCACUUCAAACCCAGGUAAGGUUUUUCGCGCUGCAUCGAAUUGAACCACAUGCUCCACCGCUUGUGCGGGCCCCCGUCAAUUCCUUUGAGUUUCAGCCUUGCGGCCGUACUCCCCAGGCGGGGCACUUACUGCGUUAGCGACGGCACCGGGAGGGUCGCUCCCCCCGACGCCUAGUGCCCAUCGUUUACGGCGUGGACUAC